CUAGAGCAGCCGAUGUCACAGGAAGGCCAAACAGAUCAUCAAGGACAACAACCACCCGAUCCACUCCCUGUUCACCCCGCUAUCAUCCAGAAGGCAUGGUUUCUCUGGUGAUGUAGCUACUGUAUGUACCAUGACCCAGAAGCUCUUUGUCUUGUCUGGUUCUUGUCAGAAGGUCUGAUGUCUAGACCGUGUGCUCCUUCAUGUGUGGUCCAGUUGAACUCUCCUUGACCAUUCGAUGGACCACAAACAGACCAGCAGCUACUGUGACCGCACUACUUCACCUUGACUCUUCACCCCUUUACCUUUGAACCCUCACCCCUGACCCAUACUCUUGACCUCUAACCCCUCACUCCAAACCCUUAACCUUACUCCUCUCCUCUCCUCUCCUCUCCUCUCCUCUCCUCUCCUCUCCUCUCCUCUCCUCUCCUCUCCUCUCCUCUCCUCUC